AGAAAGGAGAAGUUAGGGUUUGGGAGAGAGGAAGAGCGGAUCACAAACCGCCGUUGGAGAUCGAAAUACAAGGCAAGAAACUUCGAAGCAAUACUUCUCUCGGUGCAGGAAAAGAAGUUUGGGUGGUGGAUCCACUCAUUUCGGCAAGAAAAUCUGAGAACGGACAAAGUUUCUUGAAGUUCUUGGACGAGAAUCGGACGAAAAUCGGAGUUUAGUCGGACUUCGGGUAAACCGAUCGAAAACAGAAAAUGAGAGAGAAAACGUCGGCCGGCGUACGGAGGAG